rnacentral:rRNA from 1 species
UGAGGAAUAUUGGUCAAUGGGCGCAAGCCUGAACCAGCCAUGCCGCGUGCAGGAAGAAUGCCCUAUGGGUUGUAAACUGCUUUUAUUUAGGAAUAAACCUUUCUACGUGUAGAAAGCUGAAGGUACUGAAUGAAUAAGCACCGGCUAACUCCGUG